GACUCUCGGCAACGGAUAUCUCGGCUCUCGCAUCGAUGAAGAAUGUAGCGAAAUGCGAUACUUGGUGUGAAUUGCAGAAUCCCGUGAACCAUCGAGUCUUUGAACGCAAGUUGCGCCCGAAGCCUUCUGGCCGAGGGCACG
rnacentral:rRNA from 1 species